AUUGAACGCUGGCGGCGUGCCUAACACAUGCAAGUCGAGCGGUAACAGGUGUAGCAAUACAUGCUGACGAGCGGCGAACGGGUGAGUAAUGCUUUGGAAUCUUCCCAGUAGUGGGGAAUAACCAGUCGAAAGAUUGGCUAAUACCGCAUACGUCUGUAAAGGGAAAGCGGGGGACUCGCCUCUUCUUCGGAAGAGAGGCCUCGCGCUAUUGGAUGAGCCAAAGCGGAUUAGCUAGUUGGUGGGGUAAUGGCCUACCAAGGCGACAAUCCGUAGCUGGUCUGAGAGGACGACCAGCCACACCGGAACUGAGACACGGUCCGGACUCCUACGGGGGGCAGCAGUGGGGAAUAUUGGACAAUGGGGAACCCUGAUCCAGCGACGCCGCGUGUGUGAAGAAGGCC
rnacentral:rRNA from 1 species